rnacentral:rRNA from 1 species
GCAAGUCGAACGUGAUCCAUUACUUCGGUUUUGGUGAAAGUGGCGAAAGGGUGAGUAAUGCAUAGAUAACCCACCUUUGACUCUGGGAUAACAGAGAGAAAUUUCUGCUAAUACCAGAUAGGCUCAACAGGUCGCAUGGCCAGUUGAGUAAAGUUGGCCUCUCAACGAUGCUUACAGUUGAAGACGGGUCUAUGUGCUAUCAGCUUGUUGGUGGGGUAACGGCCUACCAAGGCGAUGACGGCUAGCCGACCUGAGAGGGUGACC